ACAGACGCCAGACCCCAGACCCCAGCACAGUUCAGUUCGCGAUCUCUGAGACACUUUCCCUAAUGCUGCUGCCGACGAGAGGGUGGCCAGACUUCCCCCCACCACGUCCCCUCAUCAUGAAAGGGAUCAAAGCCAGACGCAUACAAAAUUCUACAAGUUCUGCCCGCAAAAGCAGAGAAGCCAACAGAAGCAGAGGCAGCAACAGCAGCAGAGACCAACUACCCCUUGCCAAAAAAAAAUAAAAAUAAUAAAAUAAAAUAAAAUAAAAGCGGCA